rnacentral:rRNA from 1 species
UAGCAUGAAGUCAGACAAGUGAACCCGCUGAAUUUAAGUAUAUAAGUAA